GCCCGCGGCGCAUUAGCUAGUUGGUGAGGUAACGGCUCACCAAGGCAACGAUGCGUAGCCGACCUGAGAGGGUGAUCGGCCACACUGGGACUGAGACACGGCCCAGACUCCUACGGGAGGCAGCAGUAGGGAAUCUUCCGCAAUGGACGAAAGUCUGACGGAGCAACGCCGCGUGAACGAUGAAGGUCUUCGGAUCGUAAAGUUCUGUUGUUAGGGAAGAACAAGUACCGUGCGAAUAGAACGGUACCUUGACGGUACCUAACGAGGAAGCCCCGGCUAACUACGUGCCAGCAGCCGCGGUAAUACGUAGGGGGCAAGCGUUGUCCGGAAUUAUUGGGCGUAAAGCGCGCGCAGGCGGUUCCUUAAGUCUGAUGUGAAAGGCCACGGCUCAACCGUGGAGGGCCAUUGGAAACUGGGGAACUUGAGGACAGAAGAGGAGAGUGGAAUUCCACGUGUAGCGGUGAAAUGCGUAGAUAUGUGGAGGAACACCAGUGGCGAAGGCGACUCUCUGGUCUGUUUCUGACGCUGAGGUGCGAAAGCGUGGGUAGCAAACAGGAUUAGAUACCCUGGUAGUCCACGCCGUAAACGAUGAGUGCUAGGUGUUAGGGGGCUUCCACCCCUUAGUGCUGAAGUUAACGCAUUAAGCACUCCGCCUGGGGAGUACGGCCGCAAGGCUGAAACUCAAAGGAAUUGACGGGGGCCCGCACAAGCGGUGGAGCAUGUGGUUUAAUUCG
rnacentral:rRNA from 1 species